UGGAACAAUGUAGGCAAGGGAAGUCGGCAAAAUGGAUCCGUAACUUCGGGAAAAGGAUUGGCUCUGAGGGCUGGGCUCGGGGGUCCCAGUUCCGAACCCGUCGAAUGUUGGCUGGCUGCUUGAGCCGCUAAGAAUAAAAAGGCACGCUGUGAGGCUACGAGAGCGGUCAGCGAGAUUCCUAGUUCUAAAAACCCUAAGACGGUAAAAAUCGAAUUGAGUUGCAGCUCGAAUAACGAAAACGGAAAAUUACCUAAAAUCGCUCUAAGUGCUAUGUUUGCUCUGAAAAAUGUUCUCUCCAUGCUUCUCACCUA
rnacentral:rRNA from 1 species